rnacentral:rRNA from 1 species
CCUACGGGAGGCAGCAGUAAGGAAUAUUGGACAAUGGGGGCAACCCUGAUCCAGCCAUGCCGCGUGAAGGAUUAAGGCCUAUGGGUCGUAAACUUCUUUUACAGGGGACAUGGUACUCUGAGAAUAAGGGUCGGCUAACUUCGUGCCAGCAGCCGCGGUAAUACGAAGGACCCGAGCGUUAUCCGGAUUUAUUGGGUUUAAAGGGUGCGUAGGCGGACUUAUAAGUCAGUGGUGAAAGCCCCAAGCUUAACUUGGGAACUGCCAUUGAAACUAUUUGUCUUGAGUACAUUUGAGGCGGGCGGAAUGUGUCAUGUAGAGGUGAAAUUCUUAGAUAUGACACAGAACACCAAUUGCGAAGGCAGCUCGCUAAACUGUACUGACGCUGAGGCACGAAAGCGUGGGUAGCAAACAGGAUUAGAUACCCUUGUAGUC